rnacentral:misc_RNA from 1 species
GUUGAGUUGAGUUGAGUUGUACAAUCAAGUUGUUAGCCUGUGCUACUUCAAUGCACUUCAUGUGCCAGAGCACUUUGGCACCAGGGCAGACAAAGUGACAUUCCUGAGAAUUUAGGCUGACUGCCUAGCGCCUAGUUGUUAGGUUUCCUUGAGGCAUUGCCAAGUCAUUGACCUGUUGAUGAGCCAUAACUUGCUUGGGCAAGAGAUGGUUUUGUUGAGUGGGAAAACUCUGUGAAUUUGCUUCUUCUUCUUGUAGCCAGAAAAUCUUCUCUUCUUAAUUAGGUGCCUGAAGUGGAUGCUGUUCUGUUAAUUUUAAAUGUUUGUCAAUCCAACUCUUACCAUGCAUCUUAUUUAGAUAAAUUAUUUUAACUUUAGCACUACACUAGGUUUGGACGAAGCCAAUUAAAAUGCAACGAAUCAGCUUAGUGGACGUGGUAGAUUAGGUGAUGGUGUCCAAACUAUAAAGUAGAUAUGUUGUUGUUUUAGUUGACCUAAUCUGUACUGAGUUGGCAUUGAAUUGACAUGCUAAGAUGGCUAGGUAAUUUUAAUAAAAAUCCCAACUAUUGGUUGGGGCCUGCAUCAACCUCGCUAGCCCCUUCGAUUCUCUUCUCUUUCUCAAUUUGCUAACUGCAACAGUUGAGGGUACUUAACUAUG